UACGUAGGGGGCGAGCGUUAUCCGGAAUUACUGGGCGUAAAGCGCACGCAGGCGGUUCGCCAAGUUUGGAGUGACAGUUGUCGGCUCAACCGACAAAGGACUUCAAAAACUGGUGAACUUGAGGACGAGAGAGGAACAUGGAACUCCAGGUGUAGUAGUGAAAUGCGUAGAUAUCUGGAAGAACACCAAUGGCGAAGGCAAUGCUCUGGCUCGUUUCUGACGCUCAGGUGCGAAAGCCAGGGGAGCGAACGGG
rnacentral:rRNA from 1 species